UCCUAUAUGUUCUGGACUGGGCUGGUUCAGUCAUACAGUUUGGAAUCAGUCUGCAGCCAGCUCCCACACUGAGAGGACCUCUAGCUGUUUCACGAGCUGGGGUGACUCCGGAUAGCCACACCUGUUAUCCAUUUAAGUGUCGGCAAGUUUUGCCAGCACUUUUCAAUGAUACUGGCGGCUUCGAACCUCGGACAUCAACGAUAAACAGCACACCUGUAGAUUCUAUUAUGCAACCUAAGAAAACGGCAGCUGCUUGGAAUAACUUGUUGCCAGUUGGGACUCCAACUCAUCAAACUCCUUGCAUAAACGGCUAUUCACACAUACCUUCAUGACUAAUGUCGAUCCUGAAAUGGAAUUCCAAUGGAACUGGCUGAAACUCUAGUCGAUGUUUUGUGACUUCUGCCAUACUCUUGGCAAAUUUGCAGUCGGUAGACCAGUUCCACUGUUUUCUGGUACCAAUGAAUAUGGAAUUGAAAUCUCUCAGGGAAGCACUUGGAGAUUGGCCUUAAAAAUAAAUGAUGUCAUUAUCCUGAGUGAGUUUGUCUACGUUCCUUCGAGCAGUGUUCACACUUUGUGUCAUUCACACAUUGAGUUGAUGGCCUGAAAGUGAAAUGGAGUAUUAAAAAGAUGUAAGGGACCCUGGCAAGUAUUUGUGCCGAUGUGGACUAUGAUGGAAUAGGGCUGUCAUGAUCAUGCUUCCCAUUCUUGAUCUGGUGGAUCUAGAGUCCAG